AGAAAGUUUACCGAUCAGCUUUUUCAAAGUGUCAUGCACUGUGAAACAAGUGCGGAAGAUCCACUCUUGCAGCUGAAGCUGUAGAGGAUGCUUGCUCACUCCAGCUUCUACGUCCAAAUACCACAAGAUGGAACUCGCUCUUCCUCGCUGUCGAAAGGCUGCUAAGAAUCCUCAAAGACAAAGGAGAGGUGACCAUCAGAAAUCUUUGCAAUGACUUCAAAGUUUCAAUGUUCAACCCGGCAGAACUGGCAUUUUUGGGCGAGUAUGCCAUUGUGAUGACUCCAGUUGCCCAAGCAACAAACAUCCUCCAAGCAGAAACCAACGCCCAGAUGGGGUGGCUACUACCCACAAUCACGUUGCUGUCCGUUAAAUUGGACAGAGUAA